rnacentral:rRNA from 1 species
GUCCAUGCCGUAAACGAUGAGGACUAGGUGUUAGCCCGCAAGGGUUAGUGCCGCAGCUCACGCAUUAAGUCCUCCACCUGGGGAGUACGGCCGCAAGGUUGAAACUCAAAGGAAUUGACGGGGGCCCGCACAAGCGGUGGAACAUGUGGUUCAAUUCGACGCUACGCGAAGAACCUCACCCAGGCUUGACAUGCUUAGAUGUAGUUUUCCUGAAAGGGAAGACGACCGUAUCCAAUCGGAGCUUUGCACAGGUGUUGCAUGGCUGUCGU